rnacentral:rRNA from 1 species
CCUACGGGCGGCAGCAGGGAGGAAUAUUGGGCAAUGGACGAGAGUCUGAACCAGCCAAGUAGCGUGAAGGAUGACUGCCCUAUGGGUUGUAAACUUCUGGUAUAUGGGAAUAAAAUGUGCCACGUGGGGGAUUUUGUAUGUACCAUAUGAAUAAGGAUCGGCUAACUCCGUGCCAGCAGCCGCGGUAAUACGGAGGAACCGAGCGUUAUCCGGAUUUAUUGGGGUUAAAGGGAGCGUAGGUGGAUUGUUAAGUCAGUUGGGAAAGUUUGCGGCUCAACCGUAAAAUUGCAGUUGAAACUGGCAGUCUUGACUACAGUAGCGGUGGGCGGACUUCGUGGUGUCGCGGUGAACUGCUUCGAUCUCAC